CCAUUUGGGGGGUGCUUAUACAUGCAAGUCGAACGAACUCUGGUAUUGAUUGGUGCUUGCAUCAUGAUUUACAUUUGAGUGAGUGGCGAACUGGUGAGUAACACGUGGGAAACCUGCCCAGAAGCGGGGGAUAACACCUGGAAACAGAUGCUAAUACCGCAUAACAACUUGGACCGCAUGGUCCGAGUUUGAAAGAUGGCUUCGGCUAUCACUUUUGGAUGGUCCCGCGGCGUAUUAGCUAGAUGGUGGGGUAACGGCUCACCAUGGCAAUGAUACGUAGCCGACCUGAGAGGGUAAUCGGCCACAUUGGGACUGAGACACGGCCCAAACUCCUACGGGAGGCAGCAGUAGGGAAUCUUCCACAAUGGACGAAAGUCUGAUGGAGCAACGCCGCGUGAGUGAAGAAGGGUUUCGGCUCGUAAAACUCUGUUGUUAAAGAAGAACAUAUCUGAGAGUAACUGUUCAGGUAUUGACGGUAUUUAACCAGAAAGCCACGGCUAACUACGUGCCAGCAGCCGCGGUAAUACGUAGGUGGCAAGCGUUGUCCGGAUUUAUUGGGCGUAAAGCGAGCGCAGGCGGUUUUUUAAGUCUGAUGUGAAAGCCUUCGGCUCAACCGAAGAAGUGCAUCGGAAACUGGGAAACUUGAGUGCAGAAGAGGACAGUGGAACUCCAUGUGUAGCGGUGAAAUGCGUAGAUAUAUGGAAGAACACCAGUGGCGAAGGCGGCUGUCUGGUCUGUAACUGACGCUGAGGCUCGAAAGUAUGGGUAGCAAACAGGAUUAGAUACCCUGGUAGUCCAUACCGUAAACGAUGAAUGCUAAGUGUUGGAGGGUUUCCGCCCUUCAGUGCUGCAGCUAACGCAUUAAGCAUUCCGCCUGGGGAGUACGGCCGCAAGGCUGAAACUCAAAGGAAUUGACGGGGGCCCGCACAAGCGGUGGAGCAUGUGGUUUAAUUCGAAGCUACGCGAAGAACCUUACCAGGUCUUGACAUACUAUGCAAAUCUAAGAGAUUAGACGUUCCCUUCGGGGACAUGGAUACAGGUGGUGCAUGGUUGUCGUCAGCUCGUGUCGUGAGAUGUUGGGUUAAGUCCCGCAACGAGCGCAACCCUUAUUAUCAGUUGCCAGCAUUAAGUUGGGCACUCUGGUGAGACUGCCGGUGACAAACCGGAGGAAGGUGGGGAUGACGUCAAAUCAUCAUGCCCCUUAUGACCUGGGCUACACACGUGCUACAAUGGAUGGUACAACGAGUUGCGAACUCGCGAGAGUAAGCUAAUCUCUUAAAGCCAUUCUCAGUUCGGAUUGUAGGCUGCAACUCGCCUACAUGAAGUCGGAAUCGCUAGUAAUCGCGGAUCAGCAUGCCGCGGUGAAUACGUUCCCGGGCCUUGUACACACCGCCCGUCACACCAUGAGAGUUUGUAACACCCAAAGUCGGUGGGGUAACCUUUUAGGAACCAGCCGCCUAAGGUGAACCAGAAUGGG
rnacentral:rRNA from 1 species